AACGCACAUUGCGCCCCCUGGUAUUCCGGGGGGCAUGCCUGUCCGAGCGUCAUUGCUGCCCUCAAGCACGGCUUGUGUGUUGGGCCUCCGUCCUCCCCCCGGGGGGACGGGCCCGAAAGGCAGCGGCGGCACCGUGUCCGGUCCUCGAGCGUAUGGGGCUUUGUCACCCGCUCUGUAGGCCCGGCCGGCGCUGGCCGACCCUCCAACCCCAUUUUUUCAGGUUGACCUCGGAUCAGGUAGGGAUACCCGCUGAACUUAA
rnacentral:misc_RNA from 1 species